rnacentral:rRNA from 1 species
GAUUGUAGGCUGCAACUCGCCUACAUGAAGUCGGAAUUGCUAGUAAUCGCGGAUCAGCAUGCCGCGGUGAAUACGUUCCCGGGCCUUGUACACACCGCCCGUCACACCAUGAGAGCCGGUAACACCCGAAGUCAGUAGCCUAACCGCAAGGGGGGCGCUGCCGAAGGUGGGAUUGGUAAUUGGGGUGAAGUCGUAACAAGGUAAC